GGGCGUAAAGAGCUCGUAGGCGGUCAACAAGUCGGGUGUUAAACCCCCAGGCUCAACCUGGGGCCGCCACUCGAAACUGUUGUGACUAGAGUUUGGUAGGGGAUCACGGAAUUCCUGGUGUAGCGGUGGAAUGCGCAGGUAUCAGGAGGAACACCAGUAGCGAAGGCGGUGAUCUGGGCCAAUACUGACGCUGAGGAGCGAAAGCGUGGGGAGCGAACAGGAUUAGAUACCCUGGUAGUCCACGCCGUAAACUGUGGGCACUAGGUUUGGGGACUUUUCAACGGUUUCCGCGCCGCAGCUAACGCAUUAAGUGCCCCGCCUGGGGAGUACGGUCGCAAGACUCAAACUCAAAGAAAUUGACGGGGGCCCGCACAAGCAGCGGAGCAUGUGGCUUAAUUCGAUGCAACGCGAAAAACCUUACCUAGAUUUGACAUGCUGGGAAAAGCCACAGAGAUGUGGUGUCCUUCGGGGCCCAGCACAGGUGGUGCAUGGCUGUCGUCAGCUCGUGUCGUGAGAUGUUGGGUUAAGUCCCGCAACGAGCGCAACCCUUGUUCUAUGUUGCCAGCACGUAAUGGUGGGGACUCGUAGAAGACUGCCGGGGUCAACUCGGAGGAAGGUGGGGACGACGUCAAGUCAUCAUGCCCCUUACGUCUAGGGCUGCACACAUGCUACAAUGGGCGGUACAGAGGGCUGCUAAAUCGCGAGGUGGAGCCAAUCCCUAAAACCGCUCUCAGUUCAGAUUGCAGGCUGCAACUCGCCUGCAUGAAGUUGGAGUUGCUAGUAAUCCCGGAUCAGCACUGCCGGGGUGAUACGUUC
rnacentral:rRNA from 1 species